rnacentral:rRNA from 1 species
GACGAACGCUGGCGGCGUGCUUAACACAUGCAAGUCGAACGGAAAGGCCCUGCUUUUGUGGGCUGCUCGAGUGGCGAACGGGUGAGUAACACGUGAGUAACCUGCCCUUGACUUUGGGAUAACUUCAGGAAACUGGGGCUAAUACCGGAUAGGAGCUCCUGCUGCAUGGUGGGGGUUGGAAAGUUUCGGCGGUUGGGGAUGGACUCGCGGCUUAUCAGCUUGUUGGUGGGGUAGUGGCUUACCAAGGCUUUGACGGGUAGCCGGCCUGAGAGGGUGACCGGCGACAUUGGGACUGAGAGACGGCCCAGAAGCCUACGGGAGGCAGCAGUGGGGAAUAUUACACAAUGGGCGGAAGCCUGAUGCAGCAACGCCGCGUGCGGGAUGACGGCCUUCGGGUUGUAAACCGCUUUCGCCUGUGACGAAGCGUGAGUGACGGUAAUGGGUAAAGAAGCACCGGCUAACUACGUG